rnacentral:lncRNA from 10 species
CUAUGACCAUAUGAAUGGUUACAGUACUGAAGACUGUAAUUGUCAUGAGUAUGUCCUGCUUUUUGAUAAGAAUGCCAUUAUGUUAUGGCCACAACCUGGUGAUAUGGACAGGAAGCAGGAAAAUACUGGGUAGAAGAGGGCAGUUCCCCAGCAAAGGCCCCACCCUCAAGCCUGGAAAGCCGUGGCCCUACAUGGAAACAGGCAUUCCUAUUUUUGCACCCAUAUGUUGCCUUUUGGCCUGCUAUGCCCCCCUGUCUUGUACCUAUAUAAACCCCAAACCCCAGGUUCCACGAGCAGAAGAGCAGAUGAGCAGAAGAGUGGCAGAAUGGCAUGGCAGAGAAAGAGAGAAGAGAAGGAACAUCUGAACAUCCAGAGAAGUUCGGCUGGAGAUAGUUGGAGAGAUCAGCUGUGGGAUGGUCAAACUUCAGGGGAAAAUCAUCUCACUCCAUCCCCUUUCCAGCUACCUAUCCAUCCUGCUGAGAGCCACCUCCAUCUGUCAAUAAAAUACCCUGCAUUUG